rnacentral:rRNA from 1 species
AUUGAACGCUGGCGGCAGGCCUAACACAUGCAAGUCGAGCGGGAACUUCGGUUCUAGCGGCGGACGGGUGAGUAAUGCGUAGGAAGCUACCCGACAGAGGGGGAUACCAGUUGGAAACGACUGUUAAUACCGCAUAAUGUCUACGGACCAAAGUGUGGGACCGUCGGGCCACAUGCUGUCGGAUGCGCCUACGUGGGAUUAGCUAGUUGGUGAGGUAAUGGCUCACCAAGGCUACGAUCCCUAGCUGGUUUGAGAGGAUGAUCAGCCACACUGGAACUGAGACACGGUCCAGACUCCUACGGGAGGCAGCAGUGGGGAAUAUUGGACAAUGGGCGAAAGCCUGAUCCAGCCAUGCCGCGUGUGUGAAGAAGGCCUUCGGGUUGUAAAGCACUUUCAGUAGGGAGGAAGAGUUGAGUGUUAAUAGUACUCAGCUUUGACGUUACCUACAGAAGAAGCACCGGCUAACUCUGUGCCAGCAGCCGCAGUAAAAC